UUUGAAAUCUGGCGUCUUUGGCGUCUGAGUUGUAAUUUGAAGAAGGUAUCUUUGGGCCCGGCUCUUGUCUAUGUUCCUUGGAACAGGACGUCACAGAGGGUGAGAAUCCCGUGCGAUGAGAUGACCGGGUCUGUGUAAAGUUCCUUCGACGAGUCGAGUUGUUUGGGAAUGCAGCUCUAAGUGGGUGGUAAAUUCCAUCUAAAGCUAAAUAUUGGCGAGAGACCGAUAGCGAACAAGUACAGUGAUGGAAAGAUGAAAAGAACUUUGAAAAGAGAGUGAAAAAGUACGUGAAAUUGUUGAAAGGGAAGGGCUUGAGAUCAGACUUGGUAUUUUGCAUGUUGCUCUCUCGGGGGCGGCCGCUGCGGUUUACCGGGCCAGCAUCGGUUUGGAGCGGCAGGAUAAUGGCGGAGGAAUGUGGCACGGCUUCUGCUGUGUGUUAUAGCCUCUGACGAUACUGCCAGCCUAGACCGAGGACUGCGGUUUUUACCUAGGAUGUUGGCAUAAUGAUCUUAAGUCGCCCGUCUUGAAACACGGACCAAGGAGUCUAACGUCUAUGCGAGUGUUUGGGUGUAAAACCCGUACGCGUAAUGAAAGUGAACGAAGGUGGGGGCCCAUUAGGGUGCACCAUCGACCGAUCCUGAUGUGUUCGGAUGGAUUUGAGUAAGAGCAUAGCUGUUGGGACCCGAAAGAUGGUGAACUAUGCCUGAAUAGGGUGAAGCCAGAGAAACUCUGGUGGAGGCUCGUAGCGGUUCUACGU
rnacentral:rRNA from 1 species